GAGCUGCGGAACCCCGCUGUAGUCCACAAUGGACUGGCCUGAGGUCUCACUACAAACAAGCGGCUGCUGGAAGAGAGUAGGUGAGUUGUGUUUAGUCUCUUUGCUGAAGAAAUUAAGCAAAGUUAAAAAGAUGUUUGAUGGCUAGUACUAUGGCUGGGACCCUACAGUAUAUGUCCUGUUGAUGAAGUUAGGUGCUGUUCUGAGCAUUAUUUGUGGCUAUAGAGUGGCGUUUUGGUUGAGGUCCAUAGACAGCUGUGUAUUGCUAUCGUGCGGUUGUUAAUAAAGUUGGUAAAACUAGAGAAGCAAGCGGUCUGCAACAUUCAUUUCUCAAGGGGGUGUGUAACUCGGUGUUGCGGUGUGUUUGACCCUAAAUUAAUUUUACGCCGGAAUAUCCCUUUAAGGUAGUACAAUUGCUUAAUGUGAAGGUGGUGCCCAUUUUCCAGCAGCCAUCAUCUUCGGUACACAAUCAAUUUUCUAUUUCCUUUAAAGCCCCUAUAAGGAAUUUUCUGUCUGUGUUGAUUUGGCCGCCCCCUAGUGGAUGAAACGGUUAGCUUUAUUAUGUCUUUAUCAUUUCAUUUCGUCCUUAUUAGUGAGGUGUUAAUUGACAAAACAACCACCUCUUGUUGCAGAAUUUGUCUCUUACUAUAAAUAUGUAAGUAACAAAGGCUGUUCCUUCAGCUAGCCUUGCCCCCCUCCUCCCUCACAGCAGGUACAGGUGUUAAAAAACGAUCAUACAGAUAUCGUAAUCUUGCCGUUGUACAUUAUAGAGAUGUUCUACUUUUCGUUUCAGUCUGUUUCAUAACCGUCCAAAAACUCCCUACAGGAGCUUUAAAAGACGAUUAGCAUCAGUUUAUGUAAUUAAAGCUACAGUGGGGAGUUUUUAGCAAACUAAACACUCUUGGAAACGUUCCUAAUGGAUCUGCGUCAGGAAGUAGCUGUCCUAACAACAAUGUGCUGCAUUUUAUCCCGAGAUAGGAAACCCACUGUAACACACUCUUGGACUGAUAAUGCUCCCUAACAGUCCGUUAAUGCACUUUUUAUACUUUAUCAGCAGAGAAGCACUCGAGAUUUCUUCCCCACAAGUCUCACCAGUUGUCCUUUUUUCUGUUGCUCCCUGUACAGAAUUAACACAGCCGUGGCGGGGAAAGCCCGGCGUGCCAUUGUCUGAUAGGGGGGCACCGUUAGCCGCGCACAACAGCCGCCCAAUGAGAGGACCCCCCCUGCUGCGACAGCUGUCGUGCUGUUUCACUGAUCUGUAAGCAUUUCUGCUCAUUAGCAGGCUUUGUUGUUUGGUUUGUGUGCGUGUGUGUGUGUGUGCAGUCAUAGCUGGGUGAUGAAUCGACGGUGGCAGGUAAAGUAAGAGGGAGGAAAUGAAUAUGUAUGAGACCUCCCGGACAGUGAGCGCCGAGGAUAAGCUGUCUGUUUUCAACGCCACAUGACGGAGUGUCACUUCUUUCAGACUCCACCUGGGGUCAGAGGUCUGGACUCUUCUUUUUCAGAGUGCUGGUUCCAAAAAAUUUCGCCUUUUUCCUCCAUUUAAGCUCAAAUCUGUCGCUCUUACCUCUUUUUUUUAAAACUUCGUGCCAAAUGCCAGCAGGCUGCCUUAUUUGGACACAAAUGUUCCAGUUUUCUGUGCAGGAAUUUCCCAACGUACGCCCUUAUCUCUGGUAAUCGCAGAAGUGAUAACAGUGACUCUUUUCCAGGACAGGGAAGUAACAUUAAAUGUUGACGAACUAACAGGAAAAUUAGCGGGAAGGAGGAAACUUAAUGAGAUUUCUUUUGCAUUCUUUCGUUUAAUCUUUCGCACUUCCUAGGUGUGAAAUUUCAGACCGUCCCUGAACAUAAAACUUAAGAAAAUAUGUGUCAAAGCCCUACAUGUGUGUCCAGCUCUGCUCGUUUUUGUUUCUGCAGCAGGUAAAAUGGUCUAACAACAUGAGGUCAGUUCAGAGGAAUGUGGGCCGUCCCUUCCUCUGUUCCACUGAAACCAGUCAGAUAACCUUGCAAAUACGAGGACAAUAUGUAACCACAUCAAGAGGGUUUUUUUUUCCUCCUCCAUCACACGUCCCUGAACUGAAGAACGGCUGUUUUUGGUGCAGAGAGCAGUCAUUGUUGCAGGAAUGUGGGAGGAACGGUGUGGUUAUUAAGGCGAGGACAGCCUGAAAACUCACCCGGCAGCGUCUGAAUGUGCGUUUUUCUGCCCAAAAACAGGCAUUCGUGAAAAGCACAAGCAUAUAAAAGCUCCUCGUCUAUAAAUGCACCUUUUUGAGAAAACAAAUCAUGUCCUUUUCACUCGUUUACCUGCAUGUAUCUCUAAAGGAAAAGGAGAAUCUCCUCCUACAAAGGAGUGCAGUUUUCACAGUUAUGUGUCACCUUGUUUGCUGUCGUUGUGUAGGCGCAGCAACAAUCCAGACAGAGACAUGCUGCUGUGUUUUGCAGAGUAGCUGAAGGGACAAACACCAACUCCAAACACAGUGCUGCUACUGUAUAACUGAGGCGAGUGUAAUAUUAAACUGCGUGUAGCUCAAAGGGCAGAAAGAGACCGUUUUGACCUCGGAUGCAUUUUUCUUCACCACUUUGAUAGAUGGUGUAAAGUCAGAUAAGGUUACCUUUAAAAGUCAGGUUACGCUCGAGUGUUUAAGAGGCUAAAGACCUGCUUUUUGUCUGACAUGGACUGUGGUUUCGUCUAAAAAAAAGUGGCGAAUGCAGUUGAUCCACAUCCGAGUGAAGGUGAGAGGGUUGAGCCCUUAUCUGACCUUGAAUUUCCGUUGAAGCAUGUUGACACCAUCUGCUUCUUUUUCAUGUCCAGAUUAAGACGGGGAUGUUACCCAUGUGUUCAGUCUUAGCGUCAGCGUAAGCCGUACAAACACGGUUAUUCCACCACUUUGCUGGAACAGCAUGUCAAAUAAACGGUUUAUUAGAAUUUGAAUCUAUGUAAACAGCAAAACAAUUCCUCACAAAUUUACAGUGAAAACCCAACAGGUCGUCAUGGUUAGAGGGAUAUUCCGGCGUAAAAUUAAUAUAGGGUCAAACACACUGUAACCCUGAGUUAGACACCCCGUCAAGAGAUGAAUGUUGCCGACCGCUUGCUCCUCUAGUUAUAUCAACUUUAGUAACCACCGUACGAUAGCAAUACAGAGAGCCAUGUGCUCAACCAAAACGCCACUCUAUACCCACAAAUAAUGCUCAGAACAGCACUGACCUUGGUCCAGUCCAUUACGGACUACAGCGGGGUGACGCAGCUCAAGGAAGAACAUUUAUGAUCAUUUCUUUGUCAUUUCCUUGAAGUAAUAAUCAUCAUAUUAAUCAUUUUUACUGCAGACGCGGUAGUUCUUCUGCCUUAGCAUCUCGGUCUGAUUGUAUUUCCAUGAAGAAAUGAUCAUAAAUGUUCUUCCUUGAGCUGCGUCCCCCCACUGUAGUCGGUAAUGGACUGGCCCGAGGUCUCGCUACAAACAAGGGGCUGCUGGAAGAGAGUAGGUGAGUUGUGUUUAGUCUCUUUGCUAAAGAAAUGAGUCAAAGUUAAAAAGAUGUUUGGUGUCUAGUACUAUGGCUGUGACCCUAUAUGUCCUGUUGAUGAAGUUAGGUGCUGUUCUGAGCAUUAUUUGUGGCUAUAGAGUGGCGUUUUGGUUGAG